AAUAGAUACCCCGGUAGUCCACGCCGUAAACGAUGAGUGCUAAGUGUUAGGGGGUUUCCGCCCCUUAGUGCUGCAGCUAACGCAUUAAGCGCUCCGCCUGGGGAGUACGGCCGCAAGGCUGAAACUCAAAGGAAUUGACGGGGGCCCGCACAAGCGGUGGAGCAUGUGGUUUAAUUCGAAGCAACGCGAAGAACCUUACCAGGUCUUGACAUCCUCUGACAACUCUAGAGAUAGAGCGUUCCCCCUUCGGGGGACAGAGUGACAGGUGGUGCAUGGUUGUCGUCAGCUCGUGUCGUGAGAUGUUGGGUUAAGUCCCGCAACGAGCGCAACCCUUGAUCUUAGUUGCCAGCAUUCAGUUGGGCACUCUAAGGUGACUGCCGGUGACAAACCGGAGGAAGGUGGGGAUGACGUCAAAUCAUCAUGCCCCUUAUGACCUGGGCUACACACGUGCUACAAUGGACGGUCAAAGGGUCGCAAGACCGCGAGGUGGAGCUAAUCUCAUAAAAACCCGUUCUCAGUUCGGA
rnacentral:rRNA from 1 species